UAAAAAAUGAAUCAACACUCCAUCUGAGGAACUCCAUCCCAUCAGUACUCCUUGUGGAUUGAAAAUUUAUUCUUAAAAUAGAGAGAAAGAGGGCGCUGAAAAAACUGCAUCUGGAUUCCUUCGCCCUAUACGUUGGUACGGACGUGCAACGUACAGGGUCAAUAUGCCAACGAACGGUCUCGGUAUAAACGCAAAUGCAGGGGAUGAAAAAUAAUACAAAUAACAUGCGCAUAUGGAGCGAUGCAAAAGUCGGGAGAGAAAACGUAUAAUAUAAUACCAGCUAACGCUUCAGCGCCUCGAGCUUUCAAAAAGAUCCUCUUCAUCCCCAGAUGUUCGGAGCAACGACUAGGAGAGAGUAAAGGAGAAUGUCGAAUAAAAAAGACGCUUGAACGAUUUUCGAGAGGACUUGAAGAGGACGGGACGUUACGGAUUCCCACUGUGUUCCUUGGGCGAAUGUCCCAAGACUGGAAGACGCAUGCAGAGGGGAAACGAAGGGAGGAAAAGACGCCAAGUCAGAGCGAGAGAUAUUCCGGUGGCUUCUCAUGGCGGCAUUUUCGCAUACGUAUAGAGCGAAAUAUCGAAGAGAAGAUAUUAGCAGACAGACCGUUAUGCCACCACUGAGAAGUUACGGCUUCUGAUUGUGAGAGUGCCUGUCCGGAAGCUCCAAGAGAGGCUCGCAAGCUGAUUCGUACUCUGAUAAUAUAUUGCCCUGGGACCCUCUCCCUGAAGCGGUAAGGCCCUUG